CCGUGGGCCUGCCUUUGAAACCGUAUGACUUGAGGGCAGGAGAGGGGAGUGGAAUUCCCGGUGUAGCGGUGAUAUGCGUAGAUAUCGGGAGGAACACCAGUGGCGAAGGCGGCUCCCUGGCCUGUUUCUGACGCUGAGGCGCGAAAGCGUGGGUAGCGAACGGGAUUAGAUACCCCGGUAGUCCACGCCGUAAACGAUGGGUGCUAGGUGUAGGAGGUAUCGACCCCUUCUGUGCCGUAGCUAACACAAUAAGCACC
rnacentral:rRNA from 1 species